CCUAGAGAAGUUUGUCUGCAUCAUGUACAACACCACGUGUUCCCGGGUCAAUGAUGCCAGGUACCAGCUGUUUUGCACAAGGAGUCUGCAAUCCAACCAACUGCCACCCUGCAAUGACGCCCUUCUAAAGCACUGCUGCCGCUCCAAUUACCAAGCUGGUAUUUGGAAGCGAUGCCUCUUGUCACAUGUGGAUGCACCAUCACCGAAUGAGAAAGAACAAGGCUGGCACCUAGAAAGCAAUGGGACAUUGGCAGUUGACUGGUUAAGCCUGCCACCUGCUCCAAAGUCAAUCCUAGAGUUCCUCCGGUGCGGGUGCAAAACUGGUUGCAGCAGUGGCAACUGUUCGUGCCGCCGGCAUAUGCUGUUGUGUACAGAUGCUUGCACCUGUCGGCACCACUCUUCAGUAGUAUGCACAAACUACCCAGAGCAGCAUGCAGCAUUGCCUACGACCCAACACAUCUCACCUGAAACUGAUUUGGUCUGCAGUGACACAGCUCAUGACUGAUAGCAGCCAGCCAACCGUAAGGAUUCGGGACUGACAAACUUGU